AUGGUUUUGGAGGACGAAAGCAGCGACGACCAGUCUAGCCUCCCGUACAUGCAUUCUUCCUCCACAGACGGUCUCAACGAGGUUUUGAUUUGCCUAGUGUCUUUGUGCGAGCUUCUGCAGGUCCCUUUCAGCCUUGAAGAUCCAGAUUACAAGGGGCUUGAGCUGGAUGUGAUGUCUCCAUGUGAGAAGCACGGCAUGGCAUCUGAGAGGCUUGUUGCCUUUGAAGGAACAGACACAGGCAGGCGGUUUUUAGCAUGUGCACAGCCGGCAGGUAGCAAUUGUGGCUUUGUUGAAUGGGUUGAUCACCAGUGGCCCCCAACAAUGCAGAAUGCAUUGUUGAAGCUAUGGGCAAUGGUUGAAGAUGCCAAAACUGCUAGGGUGAAUGACAAUCUUGAAAGUUCUUUCACUAUCCACCAUCUGACAGAAGAGAAGAACAAGCUGGAGGCCAACUAUGACAAGCUAGUCCAAGAUUCUGCCAUUACAUAUCAGCAGGAGGUAAGAAAAGAACUGAUUGAUGAUAUGAAGGCACAGAUGGCAAGUGAGAUGGCAAAGAAAGAUGCAGAGACCCAGAAACUUACUCAGAAGUAUGAGCUGCUGCUCAACCUGACAAGAGCUCAAGCAACAGUCAUUCAGAACUUGAAGUUGAACAAAAUGAAAGAGAAGCAAGUGCUUACUGAAGCUAGUAUGAAUUUGGAGCUGAAGAAUGCAGAGCUAACAAAGUGUCAGGAGAAGCUCACCCAAGAGAAGCUAGAGUUGAAGCUUCAGGUUGCUGAUCUGCUUAAGGGAAAUGAAAAGCAUAUUGAAGAGAAGUGGCAGUUAGAGUUUCAGAAUGAAAAGUUGAAGGAGAAGUUCAUGGGGAUU
rnacentral:rRNA from 1 species